AGCCUCAUUCUAGAUCCUCUCACCUCACCCUACCAAAAUGUUGGGAUUGCAGGCAAUGUUGAUCAUGGUGUCCAAAAAUAAGUUAAUGUGUCUAAAUUGAGACACAGGUUAUGCUUCCAUCACAGUAUACGUAUCACAGUGGUGACAAUGAGAUCUGUAACAUUU
ensembl:snoRNA